rnacentral:rRNA from 1 species
UCUUGGUCAAUUAGAGGAAGUAAAAGUCGUAACAAGGUCUCCGUUGGUGAACCAGCGGAGGGAUCAUUACCGAGUGUAAAAACUCCCAAACCAUUGUGAACCUACCACUGUUGCUUCGGCGGCCUCGCCCCGGGCGCGUUCGCGCGGCCCGGACCCAGGCGUCCGCCGGAGGCUCCAAACUCUUGUCUUUUAGUGUAUUUCUGAGUGGCAUAAGCAAAUAAAUCAAAACUUUCAGCAACGGAUCUCUUGGUUCUGGCAUCGAUGAAGAACGCAGCAAAAUGCGAUAAGUAAUGUGAAUUGCAGAAUUCAGUGAAUCAUCGAAUCUUUGAACGCACAUUGCGCCCGCCAGUAUUCUGGCGGGCAUGCCUGUCUGAGCGUCAUUUCAACCCUCAGGACCCGUUCGCGGGACCUGGCGUUGGGGAUCAGCCUGCCCCUGGCGGCGGCUGGCCCUGAAAUCCAGUGGCGGUUCCCUCGCGAACUCCUCCGUGCAGUAAUUAAACCUCUCGCGGCAGGAUAGCGGUUGAACCACGCCGUUAAACCCCCCACUUCUCAAGGUUGACCUCAGAUCA